CGGCCUUUGCGACAGGUCGGCGCGGCAGAGCAUUGUGGGGAGGGAGGGCCGGCGCCCGGAAGCGGAGGCGCGCAUGCGCCGUGGCCGCAGCGGACCCGGCGUGCGUCGGGAUAGGACGAGGGAAAAGGACGACGCGUCCCCACGUGACGUCGUCGAGGCCCCCGGCCCUUCCGGGGCGGCGGCGAGCCCGAGGCGGAAGCUCGUAUACCAGUAUGUUCCAGCAAAAGAACAAGCUGAAACUCCAGAAACAGACGAAUAAAAUGGAGGCAGGUUUUUGGAAAGUGCCUACAGCUUCCUGAGAUCCCCGGUGUUACGGGAAAGUAAGCCAACCUGGUUUGAGGGUGAAGAGCCUUCCCAGCAGCCUUCACUGAGUGCUUGCCAAGUCCAGGAACGGCUUGGCCCAGUUACCACAGCGACACAGAGGCAGGCGUCCUUGCUCUUUGCAUUUGAUGAGCGGAAACCCAGAAGGAAGAACCGCGCCCCAAGUUACGUUAUAGACGCUGAACCAGGGCGGUCUGACUUCACAGUCCAGAGGCCCAUCACUGACAUCACAGAAGUAGAUCCUGUUAGAAAAGAUUCUUGAUGAAUGAGUGGGGCCCGUUCAUAGUCACACAAACCGAAAUGCCAUUUUUUAAAAACGUACACUGCUUGGCUGUUGUUUUUGAUUAUUGUUUGAACUGUUUCUGUUAGGAAGCAUGGUGGAGCCAAGACUCGCCUUUCUAGAAAG